UCUGGAGCCCUCACCACAAGCUGCAUGUUUCUUGUAUAGCCUGCGAACCAUGAGCCAGUUAAACCUCUUUUCUUUAUAAAUUACCUGGUCUCAGGUAUUUCUUUUC